GAUCUGUGAGAAAUUCCAGGGGGGAGUCCAUUAUCUUGUCACAUGUCUGCAUGUAUCUGAUCCUGGGUUCUCUCUGACCUAACAUCCCGGCCUUUUGGUGAUAAGGGAUAAGGGACGGCGACUCUUUCUGACUGCUUCCGGCUGGCUAAGGGCGACGAGGGGGGGGGGGCGUUUAAAGGCCAGGGUUAGGCAGAGACAGAUUAGAGGGCAGCCGAGUGUAGGGAUGGAGCAGGAGCUGAUUCACAGUCACCUGUGACAUCUCCGUUAUCCAGGAGCAGAUGAACUUGAGGAGACGGGGCUAGGAGAAAAAAGACACAGAUGAGAAUCAGGGGCCCUAUCAUGGGUAGGACCCAGGUAGCUAAGGGGCUUUGGAACCAGCCGGAAGGAGCGUUGUCCUAGAAGUGUCUUGCAUGUAGUUCUUCACUCAGCUUAGUGAGGGUCUGCACGUUUUGCUCCACUACUCCGGACUUGUUGAUGUAGUAGCAGCAUUCUUCCUGAAGGAAUAUGCAGGUUACUCCUCUUUCUGCAGUCAGAAGGUCUGAGGCGCGCUGGUUCUGUAGGGCUACCUGGGCUACUGAUGUCACUUGCUGCUGUAGGGAGGCU